UUACAAUGGAGAGUUUGAUCCUGGCUCAGGAUGAACGCUAGCGGCAGGCCUAAUACAUGCAAGUCGAACGGUAGAUUGCUUUCGGGUAAUUGAGAGUGGCGAACGGGUGCGUAACGCGUAUGCAACCUACCCUAUACAGGGGGAUAGCCCGGAGAAAUCUGGAUUAAUACCCCAUAGU
rnacentral:rRNA from 1 species